AGUGAACGCUGGCGGUAGGCCUAACACAUGCGAGUCGAACGGCAGCACAGAGGAGCUUGCUCCUUGGGUGGCGAGUGGCGGACGGGUGAGGAAUACAUCGGAAUCUACUCUGUCGUGGGGGAUAACGUAGGGAAACUUACGCUAAUACCGCAUACGACCUACGGGUGAAAGCAGGGGAUCUUCGGACCUUGCGCGAUUGAAUGAGCCGAUGUCGGAUUAGCUAGUCGGCGGGGUAAAGGCCCACCAAGGCGACGAUCCGUAGCUGGUCUGAGAGGAUGAUCAGCCACACUGGAACUGAGACACGGUCCAGACUCCUACGGGAGGCAGCAGUGGGGAAUAUUGGACAAUGGGCGCAAGCCUGAUCCAGCCAUACCGCGUGGGUGAAGAAGGCCUUCGGGUUGUAAAGCCCUUUUGUUGGGAAAGAAAUCCAUCUGGUUAAUACCCGGGUGGGAUGACGGUACCCAAAGAAUAAGCACCGGCUAACUUCGUGCCAGCAGCCGCCGCCG
rnacentral:rRNA from 1 species